ACACGGGGCAUUGCAAUCAGUAACGGCGAGUGAAGCGGCAAAAGCUCAAAUUUGAAAUCCUUCGGGAGUUGUAAUUUGUAGGUUGGGAGACCCCGCGGCUAGUGGCACCAAGUCCCUUGGAACAGGGCGCCUUAGAGGGUGAGAGCCCCGUAGGUACCACAACACCGUCUUGUGUCUCCUCUCCAAAGAGUCGAGUUGUUUGGGAAUGCAGCUCAAAGUGGGUGGUAAAUUCCAUCUAAAGCUAAAUACCGGCGAGAGACCGAUAGCGAACAAGUACAGUGAUGGAAAGAUGAAAAGCACUUUGAAAAGAGAGUGAAACAGUACGUGAAAUUGUUGAAAGGGAAGGGCUUGCAAGCAGACACGGCCUUCGUGCCGGGCCAGCAUCGGUUGCUAGGGGUGGAUAAGGAACAAGGAAUGUAGCUCCUCGGAGUAUUAUAGCCUUGCGCGAUACACCCACUGGCGACCGAGGCCUGCGGUAUUCUUUACCUAGGAUGCUGGCGUAAUGGUUGCAAGCCGCCCGUCUGAAAAAAGGGAACAAAAAAUUUUCUAACAUCACUUAUAUUUUUAUUUUACUAUUUAUAAACAAAAUAUAACAAAAAAAUAAUAUAGUAUGUU
rnacentral:rRNA from 1 species